CCUACGGGAGGCAGCAGUGGGGAAUAUUGCACAAUGGGGGAAACCCUGAUGCAGCGACGCCGCGUGAGUUAGGAAGGACUUCGGUAUGUAAAGCUCUAUCAGCAGGGAAGAAAAUGACGGUACCUGACGAAGAAGCCCCGGCUAACUACGUGCCAGCAGCCGCGGUAAUACGGAGGGGGCAAGCGUUAUCCGGAUGUGCUGGGUGUAAAGGGAGCGUAGACGGAAUAGCAAGUCUGAUGUGAAAACCCGGGGAUCAACUCCGGGAAUGCAUUGGAAACUGGUGAUCUAGAGUGUCGGAGAGGCGAGCGGAAUUCCUAGUGUAGCGGUGAAAUGCGUAGAUAUUAGGAGGAACACCAGUGGCGAAGGCGGCUUGCUGGACGAUGACUGACGUUGAGGCGCGAAAGUGUGGGUAUCAAACAGGAUUAGAUACCCUGGUAGUC
rnacentral:rRNA from 1 species